GACGAACGCUGGCGGCGUGCCUAAUACAUGCAAGUAGAACGCUGAUGGAGGAGCUUGCUUCUCUGGAUGAGUUGCGAACGGGUGAGUAACGCGUAGGUAACCUGCCUGGUAGCGGGGGAUAACUAUUGGAAACGGUAGCUAAUACCGCAUAAUAUUGACUAUUGCAUGAUAGUCAGUUGAAAGGUGCAACUGCACCACUACCAGAUGGACCUGCGUUGUAUUAGCUAGUUGGUGGGGUAACGGCUCACCAAGGCGACGAUACAUAGCCGACCUGAGAGGGUGAUCGGCCACACUGGGACUGAGACACGGCCCAGACUCCUACGGGAGGCAGCAGUAGGGAAUCUUCGGCAAUGGACGGAAGUCUGACCGAGCAACGCCGCGUGAGUGAAGAAGGUUUUCGGAUCGUAAAGCUCUGUUGUAAGAGAAGAACGAGUGUGAGAGUGGAAAGCUCACACUGUGACGGUAUCUUACCAGAAAGGGACGGCUAACUACGUG
rnacentral:rRNA from 1 species